rnacentral:rRNA from 1 species
CCUACGGGGGGCAGCAGUGAGGAAUAUUGGUCAAUGGGCGCGAGCCUGAACCAGCCAAGUAGCGUGAAGGAUGACUGCCCUACGGGUUGUAAACUUCUUUUAUCAAGGAAUAAAGUGAGGCACGUGAGCCUUUUUGUGUGUACUUUAUGAAUAAGGAUCGGCUAACUCCGUGCCAGCAGCCGCGGUAAUACGGAGGAUCCGAGCGUUAUCCGGAUUUAUUGGGUUUAAAGGGAGCGUAGAUGGGUUGUUAAGUCAGUUGUGAAAGGUUGCGGCGCAACCGUAAAAUUGCAAUUGAUACUGGCAGUCUUGAGUACAGUUGAGGUAGGCGGAAUUCGUGGUGUAGCGGUGAAAUGCUUAGAUAUCACGAAGAACUCCGAUUGCGAAGGCAGCUUACCAAGCUACUUCUGACGUUGAGGCACGAAAGCGUGGGGAGCAAACAGGAUUAGAUACCCUAGUAGUC